GAUGAACGCUGGCGGCGUGCCUAAUACAUGCAAGUCGAGCGAACAGACGAGGAGCUUGCUCCUUUGACGUUAGCGGCGGACGGGUGAGUAACACGUAGGUAACCUACCUAUAAGACUGGGAUAACUUCGGGAAACCGGAGCUAAUACCGGAUAAUAUUUCGAACCGCAUGGUUCGAUAGUGAAAGAUGGCUUUGCUAUCACUUAUAGAUGGACCUGCGCCGUAUUAGCUAGUUGGUAAGGUAACGGCUUACCAAGGCAACGAUACGUAGCCGACCUGAGAGGGUGAUCGGCCACACUGGAACUGAGACACGGUCCAGACUCCUACGGGAGGCAGCAGUAGGGAAUCUUCCGCAAUGGGCGAAAGCCUGACGGAGCAACGCCGCGUGAGUGAUGAAGGUCUUCGGAUCGUAAAACUCUGUUAUUAGGGAAGAACAAACGUGUAAGUAACUGUGCGCGUCUUGACGGUACCUAAUCAGAAAGCCACGGCUAACUACGUG
rnacentral:rRNA from 1 species